rnacentral:rRNA from 1 species
UACGUAGGUGGCAAGCGUUGUCCGGAUUUACUGGGCGUAAAGGAUGCGUAGGCGGACAUUUAAGUCAGAUGUGAAAUACCCGAGCUUAACUUGGGUGCUGCAUUUGAAACUGGGUGUCUAGAGUGCAGGAGAGGUAAGUGGAAUUCCUAGUGUAGCGGUGAAAUGCGUAGAGAUUAGGAAGAACACCAGUGGCGAAGGCGACUUACUGGACCAAUACUGACGCUCAUGUGCGAAAGCGUGGGGAGCAAACAGG